rnacentral:tRNA from 1 species
GUCUCCGUGGCGCAAUUGGCCAGCGCGAUCGGCUGUUAACCGAGAAGUUGGAGGUUCGAGCCCUCCCGGGAAUG